CUCAAGUAAUGUCACAUGGCGAAUGAACCACCACAUGCCCAGCUCCAGCUCAAGACACAAGAAGCUCUGGCAGCUCAGAAGACGCAUUGCAACCUUUAGGACUCGUCUCAGUAAGGGUACCCUGGACUGACCUAUCCUUGACCGACCCGAUGGAAGUCCCACCAGGGCAAGGAGCCUGUCCUCCUCACCACUGCGUCCCGAGGACCACGGAUGGGGACUGGCAACACAUUGGGUUCAGUAUCUCGUAAAUAAUUUAUGUUAUUUCAGAUUGGACCUGGUUCCAAAUCUUGAUACGACCCAAGGGCAGGAAUUACAGCUCUCCACCCCUUCACAGCAGCAGAGCCCGAUGUCAACACGUAAUUGCUUGUCUUUUCCCCAUUAUUUCC
rnacentral:lncRNA from 1 species